UGUAUAGAGUGGGGUGCUCAUUUUCGCCACAUCUUUUCAUGUUUUCUACAGUUUAUGUUCAGGUUUAAAGGUUUUUGAAGUAUACUGAUAUUUCUAUAUAAAGAUAACUUCAAAAGCAAAAUAUUCUUAAGCUUGAAAACGUGUUUGUUUGAAUAUAAUCAUCUAAAAAGCUAGAUUAAAGGGUGUUCGAAAUUUCCUGAUUUUUUGUCAAUGGGGGACACAUAU
rnacentral:lncRNA from 1 species